rnacentral:misc_RNA from 1 species
UCCAACUUAUCGCUGGCGGUCUCCUGCGAGUUCCCAACUGAAUGAUGGCAACACAGGACAAGGGUUGCGCUCGUUGCGGGACUUAACCCAACAUCUCACGACACGAGCUGACGACAGCCAUGCAGCACCUCGACCCCACCCCCUUGCGGGGUAGCGCUGUUUCCAACGCCGUUGAGAAGCCGUUCGAGCCCGGGUAAGGUUCUUCGCGUUGCGUCGAAUUGAACCACAUGCUCCACCGCUUGUGCGGGCUCCCGUCAAUUCCUUUGAGUUUUAGCCUUGCGGCCGUAGUCCCCAGGCGGGGUACUUAAUGCGUUAGCUUCGGCACCGCAGGGGUCAAUACCCGCGACACCUAGUACCCAUCGUUUACAGCGUGGACUAC